GCAACCCCGGAAACUCAGCUGAACUGCUCACGCUGUCCGGGAGGCAAGGAAAAAAGACCAAGGGGCAAAACUCCCCGCCCGGAAACCGUCAGUGGAUAGCACUCGCCUUGGCUCCCACGCUUCCUAGGUUUGGGAUGAGGCAGAAAAAGCAAGUCUGUGUUCAAUGUCCUGUGUACCCUUCCUACCAAGGAUACAUAGUUCAUUCCAGCCGAACGUGUGAAGUCUAUGUAUACUCCAGGGCACAGAUUACACCUUGGUGGUCUUUAUCUCUUCUUUGCUUGUCCAAGGCCCUACUGUUUCUCCAUAGAGGAAAGUGUGUGCCUAAUAUUGGGUUCCACCAGGCUGAGUGCCCUGCAGUCCUCUUUAAAUUCCCCUUUUUUGUCUCUCCCGUGUCCUUUUCUCUCUGUGAUUCCCAUUCCUUGCCCCUAUUUCUUCCGAAGCCCUCUACAUACGCUAAAUCCUUAGUCAUGAUGAGUAGGCAGCAAGCCCCUCUUGUACACAACAAAGACUUCUAUUUUUUUCCCCCCCUUUCUAUCUUUUGGGCGACACGAUAAAAAAUAACCCUGUAUUUAUGCAAAUUGCAAAGUAGCGUGUGAUAAUGAAAACAAAACAGUGCUGGCCCGCAGCCAAGACAUGGCACUGACGGGGGCUCCCGACCAUUUGGCUCCUGAUUCUUCGGGGAAAGCAGCUGUGGAGAAAGGAGAAUACACAACACCCUCGUCACACGCGCGCUCCCACGCGCACACCCUCGUUCGCACGCAUUCCGGUACCGUCGCCUCGGAGCCAGCGAGACUUGGGAUCCAAAUGAAGUUCUGCUUGCGACCGCCGCCAGCCCUUCAGCGUCGUCCCCCACGAGCCUCCCUGCCCCCUGCUCCUGAUCCCCUUUCAGGAAUUUACAAACAUUUUCCACAGAUCAAUAUCUGUAUUGAUUAUUCAUUGUGAGUGAGUCGUGUGUCUUUGGUGAUCCGGCUUGCAGAGGUUGCAGCCAAAGCCUGCUGCAGGGGGAAAAAAAAAUAACAGAAGGCGAGAAGGACCCAAGCAAGCUGGGGUCUGAGGCUGUCGGCCACACAGAAAGGAAGAGAAAAAGAGGAACGCGCUGGAACACGAAGGAAUGGACAAGGGUGGAGGAGAAAGAGGGAGCAAUAGCAAGAAAAAGGAGGCGCCGGCCGGCCAUCUGGAUCCAGGGAUCUCGGUGGCUUGGAGGGAAGCCCCAUCUUGGGUCUGCGGUUCGUGCACCGUUCGGCGGGCUCGCUCUGGGAGCGAGAGGUGACUCACAGUGUUGGCAUCUCCUGCGUGAGAGCUUUGGGGGAUCCCUUGGCUUGCUGACAAGGAAAGGAAGAAGGCAGCAGCGGAGGUAAAACCCGAUCGCUUCCAACAGCCUUGCGGAGGACACACAGUCGCUGGGUCCGCCUGGAACAGCUCGCAGCUCUGAUGGCACGCGGAGGGGGAAUAAUUAAAAAGGCCGGCGUCCCUUCCUAACAGUGGGUUCUGGAGCGCUCAGUCAUUGCUGGUUGAAUGGAGGAGAAAAGCUGCCCACCAUAGAAGGAAUAAGGACACUCUUGCAAAGCCCGGCACACAGGCCUGAGUUCUGGGGACAAGCGAAUGGCUCGAGAGCCAGUUCCCUGUGGAGCCUCUGAGUGAUGAGACAUAGCAUCCAGGAGCACGCAGGGACCAAGGCAAGCGAGUGCGAAACACAAGUCUAGAAGAUUCUUCCCCAGCAGAGUAAAAACAUCCAGGUGGUGGCGGCCGGAAGGGGUGAGAAUGGGAAGGUAGAACUGUGGAGAGUUUAACCCGAAGCAGACACUGCCCUCAUGGCUGCAUCAGCCCAGCUUCAGCAGCCCCCUCAGUGGCUGGCAUAGCGAUGUGGCAGCAGGAGAAGCUGGCAGACGGCGAUGCCAGCAGCAUUGGGAAUGAAUACAUCAGCGCCCUCACAGCAGCUGUGACAGGGUGAGACGAGGCACAUGCACAGAGGCUGGUGUGUGGCAGAGGACUCAGCGAUCUGGGGGGCUGAGAGGACUUAUGUGAGCUCACGGGAUGUCCCCUCUGUGGGCUACUUCCCAGGAGACCCGGGGAGAUUCUGAGAAUGAAGCGCCUACUGUUGCAGGUGGAGGUCAAUGCUGCCACAUCCACAUGAGCCUACCUCCACCUGGGUGUGACCUGGAGAAACUGGGUGUCUUAGCAACCUAGACCUGGAAGCCCCAUGAAGAAACGGGGUGUCAGGAAGACAGCAGUGCUGGUGGCCACCUCCACUCGCAUGGGCUUGGGAACUGAAUCAGAAGCUUCCAUGUCCACACCCCCAAAGCUAAUCAUAGUGAUCGCAGUGUUCUCUAAUUGUGGAUUCACUUAUCCGCCGCCUCUCCUGAGCGGUAAGCUCUGUGAGGAAAGGGACUCUAUUUAGUUCAUCUUUAGAUCCCUACUUCUUGACACUGUACUAAGCAAACAGCAGAACCUCACCAAUGUUUGCGGG